UAACUAUACCAGGCUACUCUCACCAUACUCGGGUGAUACCAACUCAUGUGAUCUUACCAAGAUCCUUUAGCGAGUAUCCACAAGAUGGAUACCAGGACUUAUCACCGGCACGAUGCCCAACUGUAACACCGACACGAUGCCUAACUGUAACACCGACACAAUGUCCAACUGUUACGUACUCAGACGAGUUCUUCCAUCAUUACUAUCUUAGAUACGGUUGACCAUCUACUCAGGUCUGGUCGAGCUGUCCAAUAUCGUGUACUCGGCUAUUCGAAUAGGUUUUACACUCUGCAGAGGUUGCACACUUUACCCACACUAUGGAGCACUGACCUCUUGAUCCCAUUCGGGUGGACCAGUAUUGCUCCAACGGAACUUGCCUGACCCGUGACUCUUUCAUCGUACCACUGGCAAUCAUUCUCCCUCAGAGUCCUGUCUUGGGUGGCCCUCUGUCCUCAUGACACAUGCCACUGUCGUGGCCAAACAAAACUGUCCCAACCAGGGACGGGUACCCCAAACAACUCAACUGGCUCACGUGGUUAUCACCGCCUACCGGGCCAAGAUACGUAGCACUCGUGCAUAACCCUCCCUCUUUGGAGGUACCGGUGAAAGAUCACGCGAUAAGCUCAACUCAAGGCCGUCCCAUACCGGAAAAUGUUGUUGCACUGAUGAGCCCGGACAGGUCACUCUGAUCAACCAAUUAGGUAUCUUAUCCGAAUAUUAUCGGUCAUAGCUGACACUCUCAUGUCAUAGCAAUCUGAUAAUUAAUAAGCUCAAGCCACUACUGUUGAUCCAUGUUCACAAAGUAAUCAUAGACAAUAAUCUCAACAGUAUAGUGCAAAUUAGUGGGUGAAAGUAUUAGUUACUAACGGUCUUGUGCUCAACACGGCAGUCAUCUGUUCACACAGUGCAUGCUCACAUUCCACACUAUCAACAGAUAUAAUCAUUAUUAAAGUAGUCAAUUAUACUAUGAUAUUGCAAUGCCAUGAAGCAAAUGGAAGUUGUGGCUUUCCUGGGAUGAUGAAACCACCAGGAAGAAGCGCGAUAAACUCGCGGAAAGAAUCGCCGGAAACAGUUCUCUCCCGGAGGAGGGCUGUAUACGGCAAGGGCAACAUGGUCAUUUCCAUUGUGUGAUCACAUGGUGGAAAUUAUACCAUAUUUUCGGGCUCGCCGAGACAAAAACGUGGGCUUUGGAAUCACUGGAAUCGGAGACCCGAGCAAAAAGAUAUGAAGGUUUUGGUGCUAGGGACUGAUCUGCAGAAAGUUUAUUUACAUCCGAGUCCUUGGCAGCUGAAAUGGUUGCGCACUCUGGGAUAAUACGUUUUCCUGCAGGGAAAACGGAAAGGCCAAGGGGCGCGUCCACUUACCCAAGUCAGCAGCGGCGGGGCCGGCCUCUGAUCGCUUACUGCUGGGGCCCGCGUUGAUAUUUCCCCCCUGUCUUUCUCCUCUCGCCUCGUCUUCUUCCUCUCGACCGGGACAAGGGGCAGCGAGGCGAGGCAUGGCCGGCGCUCGGCCCGGCAGCUCAGGCCAUCUCCCAAGGGGCUGGGACCACUAGCGUACUCGGGAGAAGAUGGGGCAUCCGCCCCUGCCAUGCGCGCUCACUGAGGGUGGCUGGAGCAGGCUCCCCUUCGGCCAUGGCGGACGGCCGACUCGGGUGACCAUGGGGUGAGCGGCACAGCACCGGAGAGGAGGGUCUGGGGGUAGGGGAAGCUCCAACGUCUCGCGAGGGUCCUUAGGAGAAACAAUGGUGAAGGGAGGAGCUCGACUUUGCACGAAUUUAGGCCGGACAGGGCGGCAACCAUGGUGGCAAUUGGAGGGCAUGGGAGCUCCGGGGGCUUGUCUAGCAGGUUGGGGAGGACCAGAGGGAUGCGGAAAGGGCGAUGG
rnacentral:lncRNA from 1 species